AAUAGAUACCCGGGUAGUCCAUGCCGUAAACGUUGGGCACUAGGUGUGGGGCUCAUUCCACGAGUUCCGUGCCGCAGCAAACGCAUUAAGUGCCCCGCCUGGGGAGUACGGCCGCAAGGCUAAAACUCAAAGGAAUUAACGGGGGCCCGCACAAGCGGCGGAGCAUGCGGAUUAAUUCGAUGCAACGCGAAGAACCUUACCAAGGCUUGACAUGCACGGGAAGCCACCAGAGAUGGUGGUCUCUUUGGACACUCGUGCACAGGUGGUGCAUGGUUGUCGUCAGCUCGUGUCGUGAGAUGUUGGGUUAAGUCCCGCAACGAGCGCAACCCUGUCCCAUGUUGCCAGCGGGUUAUGCCGGGGACUCAUGGGAGACUGCCGGGGUCAACUCGGAGAAGGUGGGGAUGACGUCAAAUCAUCAUGCCCCUUAUGUCUUGGGCUUCACGCAUGCUACAAUGGCCGGUACAAAGGGCUGCGAUACCGUAAGGUGGAGCGAAUCCCGAAAAAGCCGGUCUCAGUUCGGAUUGGGGUCUGC
rnacentral:rRNA from 1 species